rnacentral:rRNA from 1 species
GACGAACGCUGGCGGCGUGCUUAACACAUGCAAGUCGAACGGAAAGGCCCUGCUUUUGUGGGGUGCUCGAGUGGCGAACGGGUGAGUAACACGUGAGUAACCUGCCCUUGACUGUGGGAUAACUUCAGGAAACUGGGGCUAAUACCGGAUAGGAGCUCCUGCUGCAUGGUGGGGGUUGGAAAGUUUCGGCGGUUGGGGAUGGACUCGCGGCUUAUCAGCUUGUUGGUGGGGUAGUGGCUUACCAAGGCUUUGACGGGUAGCCGGCCUGAGAGGGUGACCGGCCACAGUGGGACUGAGAUACGACCCAGACUCCUACGGGAGGCAGCAGUGGGGAAUAUUGCACAAUGGGCGGAAGCCUGAUGCAGCAACGCCGCGUGCGGGAUGACGGCCUUCGGGUUGUAAACCGCUUUCGCCUGUGACGAAGCGUGAGUGACGGUAAUGGGUAAAGAAGCACCGGCUAACUACGUG